UACGAAGGGGGCUAGCGUUGCUCGGAAUCACUGGGCGUAAAGCGCACGUAGGCGGCUUUCUAAGUCAGGGGUGAAAUCCUGGAGCUCAACUCCAGAACUGCCUUUGAUACUGGAGAGCUUGAGUCCGGGAGAGGUGAGUGGAACUCCGAGUGUAGAGGUGAAAUUCGUAGAUAUUCGGAAGAACACCAGUGGCGAAGGCGGCUCACUGGCCCGGUACUGACGCUGAUGUGCGAAAGCCAGGGGAGCAAACGGG
rnacentral:rRNA from 1 species